rnacentral:lncRNA from 1 species
AGCUAAUUGGCACUACUUAUCAAAACAGCCUUUUAUGCGCAUAUCUUCUGCUGGGUUCCUUUCCCUUUAUAGCUUUUGUAAGUUUUCUGUUUUUGUUUUUUUUUAAUCAGUAUGCUUGACAUGGCUUUCAAAAGGUAGAAGAACAAAUAAGAAAUAUGAAAAGAUGAUAUUCUCAUAAGAUUGAGCUGCAUCAAAAGAAGGGUAGCCAGCAGGGUGAGGAUAGAUAUCAGAUUAUUACGACAGGAUGCAUCAAAUUUAUUUCAUACAAGACCACUUUGACUUGAAGAAUCAAUAUGACAGAUGGAUGCAAAGGUUGAUACAUACACAAUUGCAGAAAGGGUUAUUUUGUGAAGUUAUUCCUUUCCUACAUCCUUAAGAACUCCAACCAGUUUCUAAGAAGAUAGAAUCUUUCUCUUGUGCAGUGCUCCUGGCAUCCACCAGCUACAUCUUGCUGUGCUGUAAGGCUGUGUGCUUUCUGUCCAAUCAGUCUGUGUUGCAUUAGGAUGAAGAGCAAGAAGCUCACAGAAAGUUCACCUCUGUAGCCAUGGCCCUCAGGGAUUAACCAUCAAACAACUGCCAGAACUACAGAGGGAUUCAGUCCUGCUGUCAUUACAUUGCAUGGCGCUUCUGCUCCUGAACUCUAAAGAUUUCUUUGGAAUUGAGGAACAGACUCUUGUAGUUUCUUAAAUCUGAUAUGUGACAGUGGCAUUUUGUGAUUACCCCAUAUCUGACUAUUUCCAGGAUUACUUUACAAUCAGUUUGCCAAACUUCAGUAAAAAAUGUAAAUGGAUUACUAUGGCCAAAAAUUUUUCACCUACCAUAAGCUGUAUGGAUAUUGACAGUAAAUUACUUGGAUAUUCUAGGUAACUAAAAAGGCAUCUUAAAACUUUAUUUAUCAAUUACUUUUAUUUUUUUCCCAUUGUGUGUGUGAGAGAGAGCUGACAAAGUUUAAAGAUCUUCUAGCUGAAUCCUCUGUUAACUCUUACAGCAACCAGUAUAUUUUACCUAAAAGAAAGAUGGUGUUUGUAUCUUUUGUUUAAUAGAUACCUUGGGGAGUGGAGGAAGAGAAAGGACUGUUGAAGCUCCAGCCUGGUGGUACUGUGUGGUACUCAGGCCUGCUGGGCUACCAGUGUAUUUUCACCACAAAAUAUCUGUCUCUGUGUCUUUAUGUGGUGCGCACCUAGCAAGACCAGACAGCAAAGCCUGCCUUCUUUUUCAAAGGGCUGAGUGGUCCAAGAUCACACAGGAACUGAAGAGAUCAACAGAUUGAGUCCAGGUUUUCCAAGCUACAUUUUUAUACUACUGAAUAAUUCCCUCUAAAGCUCAGUCUUCAUCAUCUGCUCAAUACUGCGUUGGGGCCUUCCCCUUUC